rnacentral:tRNA from 1 species
CCUGGUGGCUCAGAUGGUAAAGUGUCUGCCUAAGAUGCAGGAGACCCAGGUUGGAUCCCUGGGUCAGGA